CCAUAACUGGCUCGCAGAUCAGAUCGGUAGUAAUGGUAAGAUAAAUUGCCAUUCCACAUGAGGAAGUUUGCCGACUUCUUAUAUAGCCUAUUACUGGCAACUUCAGGAGCUUAACUGCAGAAUCUGCAAAAUCCAGGAGGAUGGUCGGGGCAGGUUUUUUUAUUUUCUUCUGGUUAUCUUGAUCUCUGACUCCCUCUUGAGUCAUUUGUGUCUUAUUUCAUCAAACAGUGAGCUUAAAGCAUCAGACAAGUUCAAUGCAUAUAUAGUUGAUUUUAUUGAGACGCAUAGGGUGUGUCUAUAUAUGGAGAAAUACACGUUCAAAAAUUGACUGGUCAAACGAUUGGUCGAAAGAACAGACCUUCAGCGAUCCAGUAUUUUAUUUUUCGGGGACAGCCCUAUACUGUAGGUAAUAGCGAAUAUUUUACCAUCUUAUAACUAAUAUCGUAUAUGAUUUAGGUUUCAGGUUUUACAUGAAAAUGCUGUCAUUAUGGACUGGUAAUUAGUGUAUACUGAUAAAUGAGGCACCCAAGUAGACCUCAGUAGUAGAUUGAAAUCUCUUGGUUCUCUCUCUUUAUUUUCCUCUCCCUUUAUUUUUCUCUCUUCUUCUUACCUGCUAUUUCUCUUUCUCUAUCUGGCAUCGUCGUCGUCCGUCCCCCCCCCCCCCCCCCCGGUGGUCUAGCUGGCUCCUAGGGAGAAGGCAGCUGUGAACUACAGCCAGAAGCUGAAGGAGAAGUUCCAGCACCACCCUCAGAUCCGCCGCAUCUCGCGCCACCGCCACCUGCCCAAGUCCAUCUACAGCCAGAGCAAGGAGCUGCGUGUCAUGAAGGAGGCUCGCCGCAGGAAGGAGAGGAACGUACGCAAGCACAGCAAGCCUGGCUCCAUGCCCGUGGUGACGGAGAAAGAGAAACAUGUGGUCACCGUGGUGAAAUAGAAGGAACAUCGACGCCAGUGACCGUGUGGCAUUGGAGGACUGAAGGACUACUCUCUCUCUACACACACCUGGGCCAUGUUCAGAAACACACAACUAAUGUUGCAAAAUGUCAGUACGUUUCCCCAAAUUAUCUGGUUUUCCAGAAAUUCCAGAUACCUGGAUUUCCUGCUUGUUCCCUCAUGAUUCCAGGACACAGGAGGUUGGUGGCAUCUUAAUUGGGGAGGAUGGGCUCGCGGUAAUAACGGGAGCAGAAUGGGAUCAAAUACAUGGUUUCCAUGUGUUUGAUGUCAUUCCAUUUGCUCCGUUCCGGCUAUUAUUAUGAGCCGUCCUCCCCUCAGCAGCCUCUUGUGUUCGGGAUUUCUGACAAACCUGGCUAUUUGGGAAAGAUACCGGAUUUUUGCAACCCUGCACACAACAUUAUGUGUCCCUUCAGUUAUAUUCAUGACAUUCUAAUCCGCAACUGUCAAAAGGCUGCACCCUCCUGAACACAACUCUAUGGAAGACUCUGAAAGAACUCAUUCCACCUCUCCAAGGCUUAUUACAAAUGACAACUAUGGGUCAAUAUUGUGAAGUUUGUUUAUUUUGGGAUGUUAUUGUAUCGAAAUGAGAAUACACUAGAAACCAAGAAGAACGACAUCCGUCAAAUAUCACCAGAACAUUUGAGUAUUUUAGGAACCAUCUUGAAAAUGUUUGGCCUCCCUACACCACCACAUACCUUCAGCUAUUGUGUGUGUACUGAUUCAGUAACCUAGAAGAUUGCAUGAUGCUAAGGAUUGUUUCUAUUGAUACUGUUUUUUGUAUUUAUUGAUACACCGCUAAUAAAGAUGCUGUAUGAUA